UGUAGAUACCCUGGGAGGUUACUUUCCCUAGGUUCUAAGUGCUGUCAAGGAGCACUGGGCUCUGCCUCAUAAUAUAUUAAAAGUCCCUUUCCAGAAUGAUAGAAAGCUGGGCUUUAUGUCAGCACUUGCCUAUUCCCACUUCUCAUAGUUCUUCACACAAUGCCCAAGAAAGUAAACCAUGCAGAAAACAUUG
rnacentral:snoRNA from 1 species